rnacentral:rRNA from 1 species
AGUGAACGCUGGCGGUAGGCCUAACACAUGCAAGUCGAACGGCAGCACAGGAGAGCUUGCUCUCUGGGUGGCGAGUGGCGGACGGGUGAGGAAUACAUCGGAAUCUACUCUGUCGUGAGGGAUAACGUAGGGAAACUUACGCUAAUACCGCAUACGACCUACGGGUGAAAGCAGGGGACCUUCGGCCCUUGCGCGAUUGAAUGAGCCGAUGUCGGAUUAGCUAGUUGGCGGGGUAAAGGCCCACCAAGGCGACGAUCCGUAGCUGGUCUGAGAGGAUGAUCAGCCACACUGGAACUGAGACACGGUCCAGACUCCUACGGGAGGCAGCAGUGGGGAAUAUUGGACAAUGGGCGCAAGCCUGAUCCAGCCAUACCGCGUGGGUGAAGAAGGCCUUCGGGUUGUAAAGCCCUUUUGUUGGGAAAGAAAUCCAGCUGGCCAAUACCCGGUUGGGAUGACGGUACCCAAAGAAUAAGCACCGGCUAACUUCGUGCCAGCAGCCGCAGUAA